rnacentral:SRP_RNA from 1 species
GCCGGGCGCGGUGAUGUGUGCCUGUAAUCUCAGCUACUCGGGAGGCUGAGGUGGGAGGAUCGCUUGAGCCUGGGAGUUCUGGGCUGCAGGGCCUAUGCUGAUUGGGUGUCCACACUACGUUCGGCAUCAAUAUGGUGACCUCCUGGGAGCAGGGGAUCACCAGGUUGCCUAAGGAGGGGUGAACUGGCCGAGGUUGGAAACGGAGCAGGUCAAAACUCCUAUGCUGAUCAGUAGUGGGAUCAUGCCUGUGAAUAGCCACUGCACUCCAGCCUGGGCAAAUAGCAAGACCCUGUCUCA